GACGAACGCUGGCGGCGUGCUUAACACAUGCAAGUCGAACGGAAAGGCCCUGCUUUUGUGGGGUGCUCGAGUGGCGAACGGGUGAGUAACACGUGAGUAACCUGCCCUUGACUUUGGGAUAACUUCAGGAAACUGGGGCUAAUACCGGAUAGGAGCUCCUGCUGCAUGGUGGGGGUUGGAAAGUUUCGGCGGUUGGGGAUGGACUCGCGGCUUAUCAGCUUGUUGGUGGGGUAGUGGCUUACCAAGGCUUUGACGGGUAGCCGGCCUGAGAGGGCGACCGGCCACAUUGGGACUGAGAUACGGCCCAGACUCGUACGGGAGGCAGCAGUGGGGAAUAUUGCACAAUGGGCGGAAGCCUGAUGCAGCAACGCCGCGUGCGGGAUGACGGCCUUCGGGUUGUAAACCGCUUUCGCCUGUGACGAAGCGUGAGUGACGGUAAUGGGUAAAGAAGCACCGGCUAACUACGUG
rnacentral:rRNA from 1 species